AAAGCGUGCGCAGGCGGUUUUGUAAGUUUGUCGUGAAAGCCCCGGGCUCAACCUGGGAAUUGCGAUGAAGACUGCAAGGCUUGAAUCUGGCAGAGGGGGGUAGAAUUCCACGUGUAGCAGUGAAAUGCGUAGAGAUGUGGAGGAACACCGAUGGCGAAGGCAGCCCCCUGGGUCAAGAUUGACGCUCAUGCACGAAAGCGUGGGGAGCAAACAGGAUUAGAUACCCGGGU
rnacentral:rRNA from 1 species